UUGACCUCGGAUCAGGUAGGAUUACCCGCUGAACUUAAGCAUAUCAAUAAGCGGAGGAAAAGAAACCAACAGGGAUUGCCCCAGUAACGGCGAGUGAAGCGGCAACAGCUCAAAUUUGAAAUCUGGCCUUCGGGUCCGAGUUGUAAUUUGGAGAGGAUGCUUUUGGCGCGGCGCCGUCCGAGUUCCUUGGAACAGGACGCCAUAGAGGGUGAGAGCCCCGUACGGGCGGCCGCCUAGCCUUUGUAAAGCUCCUUCGACGAGUCGAGUAGUUUGGGAAUGCUGCUCAAAAUGGGAGGUAAAUUUCUUCUAAAGCUAAAUACCGGCCAGAGACCGAUAGCGCACAAGUAGAGUGAUCGAAAGAUGAAAAGCACUUUGAAAAGAGGGUUAAAAAGUACGUGAAAUUGUUGAAAGGGAAGCGCCUGUGACCAGACUUGCGACCCGUGGAUCAUCCGGUGUUCUUCACCGGUGCACUCCGCGGGCUGCAGGCCAGCAUCGGUUUUCCUAGGGGGAUAAAGGUCGCAGGAACGUAGCUCUUUCGGGAGUGUUAUAGCCUGUGGCGUCAUGCCUCUGGGGAGAC
rnacentral:rRNA from 1 species